GUUUAAAUAGAUUAAGAUAAAUCAUGAGGCUGUUAACCUUGAAAUAGUGUUUUCAUUUUUAAACG
rnacentral:tRNA from 1 species